UGGGGAAUAUUGGACAAUGGGGGGAACCCUGAUCCAGCGAUGCCGCGUGUGUGAAGAAGGCCUGCGGGUUGUAAAGCACUUUCGGUGGGGAGGAGGAUACUUAGGUUAAGAGCUAGAGUAUUGGACGUUACCCACAUAAGAAGCACCGGCUAACUCCGUGCCAGCAGCCGCGGUAAUACGGAGGGUGCGAGCGUUAAUCGGAAUUACUGGGCGUAAAGGGUGCGUAGGUGGUUUAAUAAGUUAAGUGUGAAAGACCCGGGCUUAACCUGGGAUAGUCAUUUAAGACUGUUAGACUAGAGUAUGGGAGAGGGUAGUGGAAUUUCCGGUGUAGCGGUGAAAUGCGUAGAGAUCGGAAGGAACACCAGUGGCGAAGGCGGCUACCUGGCCUAAUACUGACACUGAGGCACGAAAGCAUGGGGAGCAAACAGGAUUAGAUACCCCCGUAGUCCCUGAGCGGGCUGGCAAGGCGCAU
rnacentral:rRNA from 1 species